UCCCGGUAGAUAAUGGAUGAACAUGCUUGCAGAUGAGUUGUGGCCACUUCUUACUCCGAGUAGCUACGCACAUGAGUUUAGAGAAAAUGUUGAGAUAUGUGGCUUUGAAAUUCAUCACAAUUUGGGACGAAGCUUUGAUGCAUUGAAAGUGUCAAGAUGGUGGGAAUUGCAAUGCAGCGAGUUUAAGUGAAGAUGGCCUGCAGUGAGCUUUCGGGUGAUGGGGAGCAUGCGGUAUUUUGUAGCAAGGUCUUUGCAAGAAUGAGUUUUAAAGAGGAUGGCGUAUGGAAUCGACCCAGAGGUGCACAACAGUUGUGAUGAUGGCGAAAUGGUGGGUAGCAUAGAGAGGUGAGACACUGAGGGAUAAGCGUCCGAUGGCUGUUGGCGGCCAUGGGAUCCGUAUCAUUGCUGGAUUGUUGAGUGGAGGUUGUGAUCCCAGUCUCCAUCCUCUCUCGCUGUAAGCAUUUCUGCUCUGCGCCAUCGAGUUGGGCAUGGAUUGUUGGGAGAUGUUAAGCUAUAGAGGAUGGGUAUCAUUUAUGCAAUAUUUCAUGUCUUAGAUGAGCAUGACAUUAGACAAGAUGUUGAGAAUUCAUGGUUACCGGAUACAGAAGCGUCAACUUUAAUGGACCAGGAAGAAAACCCUAAUUAUCUUCUCUCUGUAUGGUAGCAGAAUGGCAAGUGAAUCGCCGCACAUGUGUUGGAAGUAGUAGAUGACUUUCACGUUACGCAAAAUGACAGUGACACCUAGAUGAUUCGAGGAACUUCAUGUGGUUUUGUUUGUGGAUGUCCCUUCUGUGACUAGAUUUGCGCUCCUUGUAACUUGUAUUUAUUUGAGAAAGUUGCGUGUGGAAAUGCGAGCUUGUAAUAGCUGCUCGUUAUGUGUAUUCUGUAUAGAUUUGUGUGAAUCAGAAAACAACAUCGAGUUUUUGUGGAUCACCUUGGUUAUAAGCACUUUGUGCAGCAGGAUUUUACUCCGAAGUAAAUGAUUCCUGGUGAUAAGUUAUUUCAAAAAGACGCAAAUGAUUCAAUAACAGUAUCUCAAGCUGCUUGAUUUCGAUGGGCUUUUUCUUAAUAUUUUUCUCGACAACACGCGUUUGUUUGCUCUAGCAGGGGCAGAAGACCAUAGGCUCAAUGAAUAUGGCAUGUCACCUAAUGCAAGUCAGCAUCCUUUGUCCAUUUUCAUUAUGUUAGAAGGUGACCAUCAUAAUAAAAUGGAAACCUGGAACGUGCCUCAUGGCAGCAUAUUCGUUAUAUUUGCGGGAUCUGCAUACCAUGCUGCACCGUUGUUUCCCUCAUCGAUUGGUCCUGUGAUUGGUGAUAGAUGUGCUUGGAGCUGGAGAUAUUUCCUUCUUGGUUACUUGAUUCAUUCACUAUUGCUGUUUGUGUAAGGCUUAACGCAUUUGAUCGAGAACAUUCUAAAAGUUCAUGCUUGCACGGGGCUGCAGCAGGAAAACUGCCGCAAUCAGGUUUGGGAUGGGCCAUAGCAACAUAAUUAUGCAUUUCUUUACGGAAGUAUUCGACAUUUCCGGACCUUUUUCCUCAUAGUCUUUCACGAAAACACAGCUUUCAUGAUUCCGCCCCUCUCAAUACGACUCCGACUUCGACCCAAUUUUCUUUCAUUUAUCCUUACUGCAAUCUGUUCUUUGGUGAAGUCAUAUCUCACGGUUGGUGAUGCAGCCCUCUACACAGGGUUGAUGGCGGUUUGUGCGCAUGAAUUAACUGAAAAUUCCGUAACAUGUCAAGGUAUACACUUGGGUAAACUGAUUGCCCUUCAAAUAAUAUCUCAUGUACUGGGAACAGGUAAUGCAAACUUCUAUUUCGCCAUCAACCUAGUGUAUGCCACUCUACAAGUGCUUGUAUUUCUUACCUUUCAACAGGACAUGCUUAUUUUUACAUAUGCUGGAAGCCUUGAUAACAUGUUGAAUUCAUGGAUGACGUUUAAAGAUGAAUCUUGUUUCUUUUCCUGGAAAGCCUCUGCCAUUCUCUCUUCCUUCAUUAUCUUACAAAAUCUAAUUUCUUAGCAUUCUAGGCAGCAAGUAAGAUCGGUGUUUGUAUGUUUGCUAAUGGUUCUGACUGUGGAAAGCGUGCGCACUAUCAUUGAAUCAGGUCAAGGUGCAGGGCAGGCAGACCUCUUUUGAGAAAUGUGAAUUAACGAUGCAAGUAAUUACUAGUUAAGUUUUAAUGGUAGCAGUCGUAGGAGAAAUUGUGGGUUUCGAAUGUCCGACAGUGUGGAAAUUUUUCUUUUGACUAAUUUAUCAAUUUGCUGGCGAUAUAUACAUAUAGGAAUUUGCGUG